AAAUGGAACUGGUGGGAGUUGAACCCACGUCCAUGUUAAUACAAAUUUGUAUAAAGUGGUAUGAAAACCAUGAGAGAAUUAUCUAUAUUUUGUAUUGGUCAUUUACGUUAAUUGAUUCAAUUUAUUGGUACCAAUGUAUGAACCAAGAGUAUUAUAUAUAUAUAUAAUCAAUAGCGCCUUAAUAAAGUAGCAAUUGAUGCUCAAGCUCGUAGACAAGAUAUUUUAUGCUACUACUAAGCCACGGGAAAACGUAACAAUUUGAUUUUUUGCGUUUAUUAUAAAAGCUUUUGUUUGAGAAGUAAAACUUAAACUUCAGACUCUCAGCUCAUUACAAGAAUAUUAACAUGUAGAAACCUAGCAGUCCCUUAUCCAACAUAUAAUAUGUCUCAAAUUAUGC
rnacentral:tmRNA from 1 species